AACGCGAAGAACCUUACCUGGGCUUGACUAGCUAGGAUUACCUCCAUGAAAGUGGAGUAGGCCCUUCGGGGUACAACUAGUACAGGUGCUGCAUGGCUGUCGUCAGCUCGUGUCGUGAGAUGUCGGGUUAAGUCCCUUAACGAGCGAAACCUUUGCCCUUAGUUACCAGCGGGUUAUGCCGGGGACUCUAAGGGGACUGCCGGUGUCAAACCGGAGGAAGGUGGAGAUGACGUCAAGUCCUCAUGGCCUUUAUGCCCAGGGCCACACACGUGCUACAAUGGGGUGCACAGAGCGAACCUAAAACGCGAGUUCAUGGAAAUCGCAGAAAUCACCCCCCAGUUCAGAUAGGAGGCUGCAACUCGCCUCCUUGAAGUUGGAAUCGCUAGUAAUCGCGGAUCAGCUACGCCGCGGUGAAUGUGUUCCCGGGCCUUGUACACACCGGCUAC
rnacentral:rRNA from 1 species